AAAAAGCUCGUAGUUGAAUUUCUGGUCUCGGACAUCGGUCUGCCUCGAACGAGGUACGUACCAGUUUCUGAAUCCAUCCUCGGGGAAAACAUAUCUGUCAUUCAGUUGAUGGGUAUGGGAUCCUCGUCAUUUACUGUGAGCAAAAUAGAGUGUUCAAAGCAGGCUUAUGCCGUUGAAUACAUUAGCAUGGAAUAAUAAGAUAAGACCUUGGUCUAAUUUUGUUGGUUUGUACUCCAAGGUAAUGAUUAAUAGGGAUAGUUGGGGGUAUUCGUAUUCAAUUGUCAGAGGUGAAAUUCUUGGAUUUAUGGAAGACGAACUACUGCGAAAGCAUUUACCAAGGAUGUUUUCAUUAAUCAAGAACGAAAGUUAG
rnacentral:rRNA from 1 species